UACGAGUGCUCCAAGCGUUAUCCGGAAUCAUUGGGCGUAAAGGGUGUGUAGGUGGUUAUGUUAGUCUUGUGUUAAAUUCUUCGGCUCAACCGGGGGCAUGCAUGGGAAACGGCAUAACUAGAGGAUGCGAGAGGCACAUGGAACUCAUGGAGUAGGGGUGAAAUCCGUUGAUAUCAUGGGGAACACCGAAAGCGAAGGCAAUGUGCUGGCGCACUCCUGACACUGAAACACGAAAGCGUAGGUAGCGAAUGGG
rnacentral:rRNA from 1 species